rnacentral:rRNA from 1 species
UACGUAGGGGGCUAGCGUUGUCCGGAUUUAUUGGCGUAAAGAGCGUGUAGGCGGCCAGGUAGGUCUGCUGUGAAAACUCGAGGCUACAACCUCGAGACCGUCGGCGGAAACCAUCUGGCUAGGAGUCCGGAAGAGGAGAGUGGAAUUCCGUGGUGUAGCGGUGAAAUGACGUAGAGAUUUGGAGGAACACCAGUGGCGAAGGCGACUUUCUGGUCUGUAACUGACACUGAGGCGCGAAAGCGUGGGGAGCGAACGAGG